CCUCCCUCCCUCUCCCUCGCCCUCCCUCCCUCUCCCUCCCUCCCUCUCCCUCGCCCUCCCUCCCUCUCUCGCCCUCCCUCCUCUCUCUCUCUCUCCUGUGUCUGUCUCUGUUUUUCCUCCCCUCUAUCUCAUUCUCUUUUUUAAGAGGUUAUUUAUUCAUUUGAAAGGCAGCGAGAGAGAGAUUGAUCUUUUGAUUGCUGGUUCACUCCCUAAAAAGGCCACGCAGCUGGGACUGGGCCAGGCUGAAGCCAGGAACUCCGUCCGUGGGUGGCAGGGGCCCAAGCUCCUGGGUCAUCGCCCACUGCCUUCACAGGUGCAUUAGCAGGGAGCUGGAUGGGAAGUGGAGCAGCCGGGACUCGAGCCAGUGCUGUGCCGACGCCGGCCCUGGUUAUCUCGUUCUGGAUAUUGGCAGUGCAGGUGUUUUUACCCAUCUCGGAGAAACAGACCAGGAGGAGUCGGCCAAAGUCACGUGACCGCCAUCCACUCUGGUGCUGUGCCCUGAGCCCCAGCUGCCGGGGCGGACCCAGGCAAGGAGCUCCAGGAGUGAGCCACCAGCUAGCCCACAGGGCUGGAAGACGCCAGAGGGGCGCGUCUGGGCGGUGGAAGCUGCCCACCCGGUACGGAGGCCCCUGUCUUCCUGAGCCCGGGGGCGGGGGCGGUGGUUUGGCUUUGUCCUGACUGGGCCUUGUCCUCCGAGGCCGGCAGAAGACUCCCGUGCUGGCCUCACUCAGGGCUCCAGGCUGGAGCCAAGUCAGCGUCCACCCGGGCUUGGCCCAGAUGCUGGACCCUUCAGGCCCUGGGCUGAGGCCCAUCCUGGUGGUACCCGGGGAGGGGCUGGUGACCGUGGCACGGGGGUGGCGGCCAGCACCCCUCCCAGGAUGAUGAAGCUGGGCACUGUGAGAAGCGAGUCUGACUCACCACCUCCCCUGCCUGGGGCCCUGGGGUGGGAGCAGAGGUGGCAGAUGCGACCCGAGGACGGGGACGCAGCCCAGUGAGCCUGGGCUGCGGCACAAGGCCGAGCUCUGUGCGGGGAGUGUGGGCUUCCAGCCGCUCGUGUGUGUGGACCAGGGAGCCGGGCCCUCGGGGCUGGCCCUGCCCCAGCAGGCUACCCACUGCCCUAGUUUUCCUUGCGGGGUGUGAGUUGUGGGCCGCUGAACGGAGAACGCUGGUGGUGAGGGCAGCUUGGUGCUGGGCUGUGCUGGCAGCAGCCCCAGGAAAGGGUCCUGUUGACCAGAGCAGGGGGCAGCUCAGGUGGGGCCCAGAGGUGGACGGUGGUGGGCUCUGCAGCCAUGUGACCCAGCACCACAUGUGU
rnacentral:lncRNA from 1 species